rnacentral:rRNA from 1 species
GUGAGGAAUAUUGCGCAAUGGAGGCAACUCUGACGCAGCCAUGCCGCAUGCAGGAAGAAGGCGCUACGCGUUGUAAACUGCUUUUAACCGGGAAGAAACCCCAGGACGUGUCCUGGGUUGACGGUACCGGAGGAAUAAGCACCGGCUAACUUCGUGCCAGCAGCCGCGGUAAUACGAAGGGUGCAAGCGUUAUCCGGAUUCAUUGGGUUUAAAGGGUGCGUAGGCGGAGCGUUAAGUCAGUGGUGAAAUCCUGCAGCUUAACUGUAGACUUGCCAUUGAUACUGGCGCUCUUGAGUGCGCUUGAAGUGGGCGGAAUGUGCCGUGUAGCGGUGAAAUGCUUAGAUAUGGCACAGAACACCAAUUGCGAAGGCAGCUCACUAAGGCGAUACUGACGCUGAGGCACGAAAGCGUGGGGAUCGAACAGGAUUAGAAACCCGAGUAGUCC